rnacentral:lncRNA from 1 species
GGACGGCCCGCGGGCCCGGGGCCGCCUCUAUAAAGCAGCGAGCUGCGGGCACUCAUCUGCCGGCAGCCGGGCCGUGAGUGCGGGAGAUGCAGGUGUGCCCGCAGCGCCAGAGGAGAAACGUCAUUUGACUCACUGAAGAUUUAAAACCAACAGAGUCAUGUGGGAGAAAAUGAAAUUUUAGUCUCAAGUGGCAGAAUCGAGUCAUAAGAAGUAAAGAGAUUUGGAUGGUUUCUCACUAAAUGGAAAUUAUAUAGAAGGCUUCUAAGACCACUGCAUCUCUCCAUCCCGCUCCUGCUGCACAGAGACUGCACUCU